CCAGACUCCUACGGGAGGCAGCAGUGGGGAAUAUUGCGCGAUGGGCGGAAGCCUGAUGCAGCAACGCCGCGUGCGGGAUGACGGCCUUCGGGUUGUAAACCGCUUUCGCCUGUGACGAAGCGUGAGUGACGGUAAUGGGUAAAGAAGCACCGGCUAACUACGUGCCAGCAGCCGCGGUGAUACGUAGGGUGCGAGCGUUGUCCGGAUUUAUUGGGCGUAAAGGGCUCGUAGGUGGUUGAUCGCGUCGGAAGUGUAAUCUUGGGGCUUAACCCUGAGCGUGCUUUCGAUACGGGUUGACUUGGGGAAGGUAGGGGAGAAUGGAAUUCCUGGUGGAGCGGUGGAAUGCGCAGAUAUCAGGAGGAACACCAGUGGCGAAGGCGGUUCUCUGGGCCUUUCCUGACGCUGAGGAGCGAAAGCGUGGGGAGCGAACAGGCUUAGAUACCCUGGUAGUCCACGCUGUAAACGGUGGGUACUAGGUGUGGGGUCCAUUCCACGGGUUCCGUGCCGUAGCUAACGCUUUAAGUACCCCGCCUGGGGAGUACGGCCGCAAGGCUAAAACUCAAAGGAAUUGACGGGGGCCCGCACAAGAAGGGCGAAUUC
rnacentral:rRNA from 1 species